CAUGGCUAGCAAGUUGUUCCAGCACCACUUAUAAACGGUUGAUCUUUCUGGCCACUUGCUCACAUGCUGUCUUCAGUGAUAUUUGGGCCAAUUCCUGGACUCAAGAUUUUGUUCCUUUUUUUUUUUUUCUGUGGUUCUUUGGCGCUAAGACCACACUGUUUUAAUUACUGUGGCUUUUAAUAUCCCAGAUAACCUCAUGACUCACCUUCUGCAGGUCUUUACUCAAAUACAGCCUUUUCUGUGAGAUCUUCCUCAAGCACCCUAUUUACAAUGCUGGCUUCCCUCUACCCCAACCCCUGCCCGCAACCACCUCCAUAUAGUCUCUGCUUUGCUUUAUUCUUCUCCUUAUCACAUGUUACCAUCUGUUAAUCGACAUAUUUUACUUAUUCAUUUGCGUACUGUCUGCAUAUCUAGACUAAGUUUCAUGAGAUGAUAAGUCCAUGAAAACAGGGAUUUUCAUUUCUUUGACUCACUUUUGUAUCCCCGGUGCCUGGAACACUGCCAAGCACAGAACAGAUUCCCAAAAAUAUUUAUUGAAUGAAUGACAAACCGGUAGAGAAAAACAUCCUACAUACAACCACUCCCCACCCCGAUUUUUUUUUCGAGAAUUCGUUGGCUCUUUUUACACAAUCUUUUGUCAUGAAAUAUAGUGCUAAAUUGACCAAGUCAAAAAGAAGAUCCAUGGGAUUUUGAAUGGGCCCAUGUUGAAUACACAGGUUAAUUUAGGAAGAAUUGACAACUUUACAGCUUUGAUUAUUUCCGAGGAAGAUCCAGUUAUUUCCCUAUUUUUUCAAGCCUUCUUUUAUUCCCUCAGUGUAGCAAAAUGAUUUUCUUUGUAAAGGCCCUAUGAAUUUCAUAUGAAGAUUGUUCCCAAUCAUGUUGUGAUGUUUUGUUAUUCAUUCACUUAUUCAAUAAAUGCUUCUUGUUGUCAAUCAUGUGCCAGACACUGUUCUAGGAGCUGGGAAUGCAGCAGUGAACAAAAAAUUGUUCUCUGCCCUCAUGGAUGUCAUGUUCUAAUAAGAAUGGAAUUCUUUUUUCCGUUAUAUUUUUUAACUAGCAAUAUUUGGUAUAAAAGAGAGCUAUUGAGUUUGGGGUACUUCUUUUAACAUAUCUUCUUACUAAAUUCUCUCAUCAUUUCUUUUUUUAAAGACUUUUAUUUUUCCCAUUAUAGUUGGUUUACAGUGUUCUGUCAAUUUUUUACUGUAUAGCAAAGUGACCCAAUCUCUCUCUCUCUCUCUCUCUCUCUCUCUCACACACACACACACACACACAUAUUUUUCUCGAUUUAUCCUCCAUCUUUUUCCAUCACAAAUGACUAGAUAUAGUUCUAUUUUCCCCUUUUAUCUGUUGGCAAAAUGAAGUUUUCCAAUACAGUCCCUGUAUUUAUCCACAAUUGGAUUUCUGGAAAUUAAUUCCAUAUUUUUAGUCAAGAAGAAAAGUCACAAUUUUUUAAAAAUAUUUAGGACUGUAUAAUAUACCAGAAAUGAAUUUAGGUAUCAAAUUAUCUGAUAUGAUCCAAAUAUCUGAUAUGAUACAAUUGACAAUAGUUGUAUGCAACUGAUGCAAGUCAUUUUGAGAAAAUAUUAAUUUUUUACUCUUUGCUGGCAGACUGUUUAGGAACCUAACUCCCUGAGUCAGCUACUGUUGAGUCUAUUUUUUUAAUAAAACAUAAAACCAUGGUUCUCCAUUGAAAGUUAGAGAACAUAAAAUCUACUGAUUUCUUUUAUAUUACUUUCUGUUUGCCAAUUACUUGUACAAACACUGAAGUAGCUAAAGAUUUAAUUUGCAUAUCCAACCACAAUAAAACAAGGAUGCCUGAGUAAAGUCUUACAUCACAGCUGUAAACUAAGAUUUUCUGAGGAGUUACAUUUGUCCUAAUAAUAUAAGACAGGGAUUAAGAGCAAUUAUACAACACCCAUUUCUGCAACUAAAGAAAUGAGGUUUGGCAGCCUGAAGAGUCUUGAGCAUGCUAACGCUGUCAGUAGCAGAGCGUGGACAAAAACUUUAGUUUUCUGCUUCACAUCAAAUACUCUUUCCACCGUGCUCUCCCUUUCAUUCGGCAUUACCUGCGUCACUAGAAACACUCAAAUAUGUUUCUUCACUUACCUAGAAAUUGUUGUGUUACCUUUGCCUAUUAUUUUAGGAGGAAAUCAUUUCUUAUAAAAUUCACAUAUGGCUUUUGAUUUUGUGGCAUCCUUUUCCUGGAGGUUCAAAGAAUGAGCGUAUGCUUGAAGAGUAAAUUCUUACAACAGGUCUGUGGGGCGGGGGUGUGGGGAGCAGAAAUGAUGAGUCUCCUGUGAUAUAAAUCAACAUUCUAAUCGUUAAAAAAUAGAUGCACUCAUUCAUAAGUGUCACAAAACACUCCAAACUGAAUAGGAAGGAAUAUCUGAAUGGAACUGAUAACAGCCAAGCCUGAAGAGGAAGCACAACAGCCCAUUACGAGCUAUUGAAAAUUUCCAUAGAGAGAAAAAAAAAAAUGACAUACAGCAGGAAAUUCCUGACCAGUAGUGUAAUCUCUUACAUAAAAUGUGUUGGCAGAUAAAUGGAUUUUUAUGAUUUUGCUUACAC
rnacentral:lncRNA from 1 species